UACACUUCGAAUUGGGCUCAAAGAGAUUUUUUUUUUAUAGGUAAAAGUGAAAUUAUAUUGAUAAGAAAAGGCAUAGCCCAAGUACACAGGGAGUAUACAUCGAAUAUUAUGCCUAAUUACCACUAAGCACUAGUGAGAGAUACAAGCAAAUCAUGAAAAUAGGAGGCAAAUUAAAAAUAUUGAAGGGUUAGAGAGGGCUGAAAAUAGGAGGCAAAGUUGCAGGAUUUUCUGGACAGUGUAGGAUCUAGGAAGGGGUUUGGGUUUUAUGGUGGCAAAGGUAGGUGAAGUUUAGGAACUCAGUGUUUCGAAUAGAGAAAGAAAAGAGGUUUGGUUUGGAGGCAUAGCAAGGAAGAAAUUUGAAGUUUUGGUGUCUAGCCUGUUAAUGGUAACCCAGAAACUUUGUUUUCGCUUUGGAGUUGUUUGGGCGCUAAUUAAAUGAAGAAUAUUUCAGAUUUUAGACAAAGAAUGGUUCAGGAGUUUGUGACAGAUAGAGCUAUUCAUAAAAAUUGACUUUCAAGAAGAUUGCAUGUCCUCCAUGAGCUGAAGGUCUUGUCUGGAAAGGGUUAGGUGGCAGCCCACAAAUUGCAGUAGUGUGAAAAAUGCUCCCCAUUAUUUACCUUUACCUUAUUUGCUGUAUAUGGAAUGAAAGCAAUGAUUGGAUCUUUGACGACCACAAACAGUUGCUGGAGGAGCUCAAAACCCUUAUCUUUUCUUUAUCAAUACAAUCGUCCAUUGGGACAGCUUCAACCGACUGUAAUGGGCUAAAAUUCCAUGAUUUUCUUGUAUCUUUUUCUCCUUCUAGAUAGGUGUCUGUCUUGUAUCAAUAAAGUUUUUGUACCUAUCAGAAGAAAGGUGUCUGUCUUGCAUACGUUUAGUGUACUUUGGUAGCUCCUUUUGCUCUCUUUAAUAAAGAUUUCUCACUUCUAACAUAACAAAGAGCUGAUCAUAUUUUUGUGAGGUGUGAGGGAGAUUUGUGUACCAAAAUGAAGGGUUUCAAAAGGAUUUCAUGUGCUCGUGGUUCUUCAGAGUUUUUGCUAAGCUGUAGGGUGACUCUUUAUUGCCGUAUGAAAGAAGACAGAUAGUAGAACUUAUUAUACUUUUAGAAAUUAAAUCUUCAAUCACUUUCUUACAACCACUGAAGUCCUGAGCAAAAAAAGGGGAAUGCAUUAUUGAUGUCAUCAAUUUGAUAAUUGAAGUUUGGCCUUUAUUUCUUUGUCAGUUCUAUGAUUUUCCUUUAAUCUUGGACAAGUUUCUUGUUUCCACAAAUUUCUUCAGUUUUCAAUUCAGAGUUACAUCAGAUAUGCGGUACAUCAAAAGCGUGCUGACACAAAGAGAGUUCUUAAAGACCUCUUCAAAAGCCAUUGAAAAAGUUAAAGUCAUCUCAGAAGUGAUGAUGGCAAUUUCACAUUAUAGAUUUGGGUGCUUGAGGAUGAUGAGAGUUCAUAUGGGAACACACUCGUCUGCAGAGGAGAGUCAUUCAUAUAGCUUUGAUAAGAAAGGUCAAUCAAAGUUCUCGCCAAGCUGAAAAAACUCACAAGAAACUAAAACGCGUAUGUCGUGGAACAAACUAGUUCAGUGGUUGGGUUGAGGGCUAAUGGGUUGAGGGCUAAAGUGACCAAGUAAUUCUCCAAUAUUUCCCAAUUUCAG